CGGGGUGUAGCGUAGCCUGGUAGCGCGCCUGCUUUGGGAGCAGGAUGUCGGGAGUUCGAAUCUCUCCAC
rnacentral:tRNA from 1 species